CCUGUCUAUGAUGACAUGAGGAUACAAGUAAUUUUGAAAGGGAGUAUCAGCUUUGAAGCUGGUGAGAUCAUAAGUAUUAAUGUGUCUUAAUUUGUAAAACUUAUAAUUUUUAAGACUUGACAUUGUUUUGAAAGAAAGCUCGUAUAAGUAUGAAAAUGUUUGUAGAACAAUUGUAAAUGUUUGAAAAACCAUAGAAAUCCCUAUGAUUCCUAUUAGUAACAAAAGGAGUCUUCUACCAAGACUUGACUGUUCUCAAUGUAAUCUUCUAUCAAGACCUAACUGUUCUGAAUGUAGUCUUCUACCAAGACCUAACUGUUCUGAUGUUAGUCUUCUACCAAGACCUAACUGUGUUACUAUUAUUAUCAUUAUAAGAAAUUGUAUCCUUUGGUACUAGGAUACUUAAAUAUAAUUCACCUCAUUGGUUAUGUGAAUGAGUCACAAAAUAAAGGUAAUAAUACAACUAACCUGAAUAUUACCCUUUGGUACUAGGAUAACUAACAUUGUUAACUUUAACACAUCCGUAGACGUACUUUUACCUCUGUUGCUAACAACUGGGUAUAGG
rnacentral:lncRNA from 1 species